rnacentral:rRNA from 1 species
UAGCAUAUCAAUAAGCGGAGGAAAAGAAACCAACAGGGAUUACCUCAGUAACGGCGAGUGAAGCGGUAACAGCUCAAAUUUGAAAUCUGCCGCAAGGCCGAGUUGUAAUUUGUAGAAGAUGCUUUGGGUAUGGCCCCGGUCUAAGUUCGUUGGAACACGACGUCAUAGAGGGUGAGAAUCCCGUAUGUGACUGGGUGCUUUUGCCUAUGUAAAGCUCUUUCGACGAGUCGAGUUGUUUGGGAAUGCAGCUCAAAAUGGGUGGUAUAUUUCAUCUAAAGCUAAAUAUUGGCCAGAGACCGAUAGCGCACAAGUAGAGUGAUCGAAAGAUGAAAAGCACUUUGGAAAGAGAGUUAAACAGUACGUGAAAUUGUUGAAAGGGAAGCGCUUGCAACCAGACUUGCACGCUGUUGAUCAUCCAGGCUUCUGUUUGGUGCACUCAACUGCGUUCAGGCCAGCAUCGGUUUUGGUGGUGGGAUAAAGGCCUUGGGAAUGUAGCUUCUUUCGGGGAGUGUUAUAGCCCUCGGUGCAAUGCCGCCUACCGGGACCGAGGACCGCGCUUCGGCUAGGAUGCUGGCGUAAUGGUUGUAAGCGACCCGUCUUGAAACACGGACCAAGGAGUCUAACAUCUAUGCGAGUGUUUGGGUGUCAAACCCAUACGCGUAAUUAACGUGAACGGAGGUGAGAACCCUUAAGGGUGCAUCAUCGACCGAUCCUGAUGUCUUCGGAUGGAUUUGAGUAAGAGCAUAGCUGUUGGGACCCGAAAGAUGGUGAACUAUGCCUGAAUAGGGUGAAGCCAGAGGAAACUCUGGUGGAGGCUCGCAGCGGUUCUGACGUGCAAAUCGAUCGUCAAAUUUGGGUAUAGGGGCGAAAGACUAAUCGAACCAUCUAGUAGCUGGUUCCUGCGA